CAGCUCCGUUGUCCGUAGCUCCACUAAUAAGUAAGGUUUCAAAACUACCAGUUCAGCGAUCACACAGCUCUGGGCACCUGUGAAGAAAUGAUCUCAUUUUCCUCUGCAUCAUUAGAGACCACGCCUUUAAAGGCAUUGGCGUGAGAAGACAAUUAGGAUGUGAGAGCCUUCCGUCUCAGAGACAGCAUCUCCCUUAGCUUCUAAGCCCUCAAUGCUGAAAGUCCCCCCCUCUCAAUUUCUGCUCUCUUUUGUUUACCUAGAGAAUUGUGUUUUUCCAAGGAAGUUUUAUGAUCUGUAAGUCUUCCCUACAGAGUCCACUCCAGGAAGGGAUCCUCAAAGGAAGGGGUUAGAUUUCAUCUGCGAUCCUUCUACCCAGCAGCGGCAGCAGCAGAGAGAUAAAGUUCGUAUAGCUCCAGAACUAGAAACGUCUCGACUCUUCGUGCUGACUCUUCAACCUGCAGUUUGCCCAGACAUUUUUCACCAUACACGCACAUUUGUGUGAUCAUUUGUGAUUCGGGUGUGCAGUACAUGCCGUGUGUACCCUGGGCCGUUAAAAUGUGUUGGAUGAAUAUUUAUUGGAUAUCGUGAAGCCACCACACCCUUUCCAUGUAGAAUAGAGAACCACUGACAGACAAGGUGCUUCUCUCAAACGUGAG
rnacentral:lncRNA from 1 species